CUGUGUUAGCGAUAGCAGCGGAAAUCCUUUUUGUGUCAUUGCGAGGCACGAAGCAAUCAUGAAAAAAGAUUGCAGCGGAUAGCGCGGGCCGCA
rnacentral:sRNA from 1 species